UGACCUGCCCACUGAAGUAAUUUGAAUGGCCGCGGUAUAUUGACCGUGCAAAGGUAGCAUAAUCACUAGUUUUUUAAUUGGAAGCUUGAAUGAAAGGUUUGAUGAAAGAAUAACUGUCUCUGGAGAAGUUUAUUAGAAUUUUAUUUUUAAGUAAAAAAGCUUAAAUUUUUGUUGAAGACGAGAAGACCCUAUAGAGUUUAAUAAAUAGAUUAAGGUUUAAAGAUUAGGGAUUGAAGUUUGGACUUGGUUAAUAUUUAUUUUGUUGGGGUGAUAGAAAAAUUAAUAAAACUUUUUUUUUAAUUCUAUAUUUAUUUAUAAGUAUAUGAUCCUUUUUAGAUUGAAAGAUUAAAUUACCUUAGGGAUAACAGCGUAAUUUUUCUUAGAGUUCUUAUCGAAAGAAAAGAUUGCGACCUCGAUGUUGGAUUAAAAUUAAUUGUUGGUGAAGGGGCUAAUAARAUAGGUCUGUUCGACCUUUAAAAUUUUACAUGAUCUGAGUUUAAACCGGUGUGAGCCAGG
rnacentral:rRNA from 1 species